rnacentral:rRNA from 1 species
UGUUGACCUCGGAUCAGGUAGGAAUACCCG